AAUAUAUAUAUCUAAAUUACUUGCAAAUAUAUAUAACAAAAUAAGCUCAAAUUAUGUCAAAUAUACUUGACUAAAAUAGAAGCGUGCUUUUCAAAUUCUAUAACUUAGACUAAGAAUGCGGCAUGGUCACAUUAAAUGUGACAUUUUUCGCCUUUAACUUAAAACCCCUGCAUGCUUUGAAAAUAGUGCUGAGAUCUUAAUUGUCUCGAUACAAGUUUUGGGGUUGCACCCAGGUGUCACUUCCCCAAUAGUUUGUUCCAUUUUAACGUUGGCAUGGUUGUGUAAUGUGUUAUCCCAUUUCAAGUAGCUCCUUGAUCUCCAAUAUGGCAAUAUCUUAAUAUUUUUAGUAGGUGUGAAAGUGUUUCAAAGUUUUAUUAUUUUCUGAGCCAUGGUUUCUCCUACCGUGUUGGGAAAGGAUUUAUUAAUUGUGCGUUCGGGCUUUUUUUAAAUUAUUAUUUCCGCCCUUUGAGAGAGUGGAAGGAUCAUUUUUCAAAAACAUGGCUCGAGUUUUAAAAUGAAUACAUGAAUUUUCGCAAUUUGAAAUGAUAAUAAGUUUAUUAAAUUAAUUAAAUUAAUUUGUCCCUUGUUAAUGUGAAUUUGUUAAAUUAUUUUCUUUUUAUUGUUUAUCUACAAAGCAUAUGAUAAAUUUGUAAUGUGAGUGAGUGAACUAGCAACAAAUACCCUGGCCAUCUAUAGAAACAUCAAUCAACUAAGAAUCCCUAUGUGAAAAAUGGAUCAAAUUACAUGCAUAAAUUCGCUAAAUUGAAACCCUUAAAGUCCAACCCAGUAAAACUAUGAGGCCGCAAGGGCCAACUUGGAUGAGAUGGGCCUGAGUGAUGGUGAGCCCAAUUGUUUGAGAGGCCCGAAUCGAAGCUCAAAGCCUCAAACCCGGGGCCGGUGCGAUUCAGGUCCCCCGACGCACCCGAUUACGAAAUCGAAACACGAAUUUGGCGCGGGCUCACCAUCACCGUCCGAUCAAUAUUUGACACCCUCGCCGUCCGUUGAUUUCUCCCUCCGCUAUUCUAUAUUGGCCCGCUUCAAGAUCCCGUACCAACCCCUCUUUUUGAUUCUUAAACCCCCCUUCGCGCUCUCACACUUCGCUCCUCACUACUCUCACUCGCGCGCGCUCUCUCUCCGCCUCCGCCGUGGCCGUCGCCGUCGCCGUCGCCGUCGCCAUCUCCGGCGCCUCCGCAGCCAUGGAUUCGCAGCUCUUGGAGAUCAACCUGAUCUCCGCGCAGCGGCUGAAGCCGCCCCCGGGGCUCCGGCGGGUCCAGAGCUACGCCGUGGCGUGGGUCGACCCCUCGGCGAAGCUCCGGACCCGCGUGGACCGCGUCGGCGGCGAGAACCCCACCUGGAACGAGAAGUUCAUCUUCCACGUCCCCGCGGGGUUCCUCGCCGACGACUCGCCCUCCGCGGUAUCCGUAGAGAUCUACGCCGCCGGGGGCUGGUACCUCCCCGACUCCCUCGUCGGCACCGUCCGAUUACUCAUCGGCAACGAGCGCCUCCUCCGCCGGCCCCGUGACGCCCCCGCCUUCGCCGCCGUCGGGAUCCGCCGCCCCUCGGGGCGGAUCCACGGCGUGCUCAACGUCGGCGCCGCCAUCCUGAGCCGCGUCUCCCUCCGCGCCGCCGAGGCCCUCGCGUGGAGCCCCGCCGUGGGGUACCGCGACCUCAUGGGCGAUGAGCGCGCCCGCAUCCCGCGGAUCCCGUCUAGGGUUCGCACCGCCCUUAAGGACGCGAACCGCGACGCGACAACAAGCGGCCGUGGGACGAAGGAGGCGUCGGAGGAAGAGGAGGCUGCGGCGGAGGAGAGAGGGGGAUCGGACGGUGGGGUGGUGUUCUGCGGCCCCUGCUUCAUGCCCUUCCCCAGGAGGAUUCAUCUGAGCCCGUCGGAUCAGAACCUCCAGAUCCCGUACCCUGAGGAAAACCCUACCAUCAGAUGAUGGACGGUCAGGAUCUCUCAAUCCUGAUCUGCUCUGCAUGUUUUAGGCAUUCUCUCUUGUUGCUGCUGCUGUUCUUGCCCAUUCUUUCUCUCUGUAGGUCGAUUUGUUAUUGCUGUGACCAAAAUUCUUUUACAUCUCGCGAGGAUAAACUUAUGCUGCUUUCAGAUUCUUGAAGCUCAUGUAUUGAUGUAUAGGAUUGGUGUCAUUUUGAGGUCUACUUGUCCUUGGAUCAUUCAUUUUAUGUUGAUAUUCUACCUUAGCAUUGUUGUAUCUUUUCUCUUGUUUGAGAUAUUAUGUCACACUAUGGAUUAGAAUGAAUCAUCACCGUCUACGAGGGAUUGUCAUCAAAUAACGAAGCUACAAGAAGGAUCCUUGUUUGAUUAUCUACGUCUCCUUUAUUAAUGUAAUUAACACUCGAUUGAAUGUUGACCCUAUGUAGAGUCAGCUUGCUUUGUAUGAAAACUUGCCAGUAUUGAUCUUGUUAUGUAUCAGUUCACGGCCUUAACUUUGAAACAGAUGAUUUACUUAAGUGAGGGGAUGUCGGUUCAUGUCCUGUUAUGUCCUACAUUGGUUUUCUCGAGGUUAGUUCGUAAUUAGUAAAAUAAUUUUGACCGGUGUGGUCGUAUCAAUGCCUAUUUGAGUUGAUCAAGAAAUUGUUCGUUGUUUGGUUGGUUGGGGCAAAAUCAUAUUCUGACUAACAAGUUCUUUAAAAAUUUGCUACGUUAUAUUAUAGAAUGAUUGGAAAAUGGUGUUCUUUACCUCUGUCAACUAGGUUAUUGGAAAAUGGUGUUCUUUACCUCUGUCAACUAGGUUAUAGGUGUGCUAGUUGUGCUUGUGCUAGUGUGCUUGUGUUUUUGUCUGGAGGUGUGCUCGGGAUCUGCUUUGUUAGAGCUAGUGCCGAGGGUGGGAUUGGGAUAUUCUCUGUAUCGUGCAUGGGGGUGUGCUCGGGUAUCAUUACUCGCGAUUUGUUUUCGUCUAAACGCUUCUGUAAAUAGGGUUCAUCCCUGUUUAAUCAAAAAAAAUAUUAUAGAAUGAUUUCUUUCUUACAUUUCUUUUUGUACUUAGCAGACAGAUAUAUAUGUCCAUAAUUAUGGCUGUAGAAUAUUUUUUGGCACUAUUAACAGAAUCAAAAGAUGCAUUUCAUCCUUUCUACAUAAUUGGCUGGAUACCUUCUUUAGCUUGAGCUAUUUCAACCAUUAAUUGCAUUAUUUAUGAGCCAUUCUUUUAGUGUGGUAUUAAGGUGUUCUUUCCCAUCGAAACAACGUUACAUCGGGGACCUUUAUAAAGUUAUAUUCUUGAUCUGACAAAGAAUCUUGCCUUAUACAGAGUUGAAUGGAUUUAAUAGAACGCACUAGAGCCGACCCCACUAAUAUUUAGGUGCUAUAAGGCUUAUAAAUAGUUGUUGCAUUACUUUCCCAAUCAUAUUUUAUUAUAACAUUCAACACACGAGUUUAUUAACUUAUUAAUUGAUUUGAUGUCCAAGAUAUUCUGUAUGCUACAUCUAAUGAAAUAUGUCAUAUCAGUGACAUCGCUAUGAAAGAGAAUUUGAUUGUGUGCUUUCUAUUAUAAAAUAAUUUGAUUGUGUGCUAACUAUUAUAAAAUUUAUGGUAAUAGUAAAAGUAGUUACCUGACAUUUUUUUUAUCUCCAAGAUUUUCAAUAGAGCCAAUAGAUUCAUUAACUGAUGAGACUAGUGCUUUUAUUUGCAUGAUGAUCAGAAUUUUUGAUAUACCUUUAUAAUGGAUGUUUAACUAAUUUAUAAACCAACAAAACUGUUGCGAGUGGUUCAUAAGGUGAAAUGCAUCUAGUUUAUACGGCCUUCACAGCUGCAAACUUUCUUCUACUAAAUUCUGUUUUCCAUUUUUCCAAUUGUUUCCAUAUAUUCUGUACCCCCAUUCAUCUCAUGCAUACUUUGGCUAAAAUUUUCAAAUAUUGAUCUCUGUUUGACAUUUGAUUAUGGGAAUUAGGAAACAUUAGCCUUUCCAACAUCUGUUGUGAAAAAAAUGCAGCUUGAAACAAUGUUCCUCAUAUAUUUCGUAGUGACACAAACUGAUAUACAUGUUGAAUAUAUAAGUAUGCUCUUUGCUUAGCCAUUGACUUUCAUCUGCCAAUCUAUCAAAAAUUCUGCUUUACUGCUUGAUGCCAAUAAUGCACACAUUUUUAUGCAUACAUUUAGGCACAUUUAGAUUUGCUUGCAUGCUCCUACAUAUAAAAUUUAUGUUUUUCUUUUUAAAUAUAUUUGUGAAUGUAUGUGAUAUGCUUUUGCAUUUUGUUUGGAACAUGAGAAAUCAUUACAUGGGUUUAUUAAAUAGUAAAUCCGUGUAUGAAAUUCUUAGAUUCUUUUCUAGGGCUUCCACUAUCCUUAUUUAUCACGUGAAUACGCGAUACCAUAAUCUCUCUAUUCUCAACUCUUAUCCACCUACAUUCUUCCAUCGCCAAUUUUUCCUCGUCAAAUCUCUGAAUCUUCAGAGAAGUUUCCUUACAGAUGUUAACUCUUAUCUAUUUCCCUCUGGACAAGCAUCACCUAUUGCUAGAUUUUGACUUGUUUAUUUGUAUAUUAGAAUAAGCCUCAAAGAAUAAGGGCAUUCCCUCUAAUUGUCAUGAAGAGCUUUAAUUUGUAGAUAUCCUCUUCUCUUCAUCCACAAUCUGAGAUUCAUCCUAAAAUCUGAGGACCAGCUCCUCUAUCCCACAUCAGAGUAGCUAUUGGAAAUCAUAACUCUUUAAGUCCAGUGGACUUACGAAAUUCCUAUAAAGCUAUAGUUGCAGCUAAUCUAUAAUGGUGAGAAAAUCGAAGACAAGUACGUGGAGUUUAGCUGAUAGCAAGCAAUAUCAAGGACUCUCUCUCUCUCUCUUUCUCUCUCUCUCUCUCUCUAUCUCUCUUCUUUUGCACUAAUUGUUACUUUUUACAAUUGGUCUUUAUUUUACAUACUCUUAUUAGUUUGCCAUUUUUCCUUGGAACAAAGAUCCUACCUGUUUUUAGGUGCUUCUGAAAUAUCUUUUCUAUUCUGUUAUGAAUCUUUUGGUCAGUAUUACUGAUGUUAUUAUCUCAUUCUUAUCAUCUGUUGAAAAGUUUCCUAUUGUUUUCCUUUCACAUACUCGGAGCCCUCUCUCUGUAGACAUCGAUGGUAUUGGUUUGAUCGAUCUGAUGACCAUAAAGAUGCUUGUUGAAUCAUUCAGUCAUUAAUGUUGCUUUCUAACGUAUUGGAGUUUACCGUGCACUUGUCUUAAUGUAGUUGGUCUGUAUUCUAAGAUUGAUUCCAUUGUUUUCAACAUAGAUUUGCCUCUUUUGCAUAUGGCUUUUAUUUGCUUUAGAUGUUGACUUGUGUGUUAUUCGUGAUGAUGACAUAUUCUGCGUAUACUGCCCAAAGAUUGUCCAGAUUCAUCUAAUAUAAGGCUUUGUGCCUUUAGCAUUAUUAUUUUUAUGUACAAUUAGAGAAACAAAUGGCCACUAUAGUGUUAGAAAUUAGUAGUUCUUCUUUUCUAAAGAAAAGCAAUAAGAUGGAAAGAGAUGUUUUCUUUAUGUUAAUGCGCUGAUUGGGCACUGCAUGUUUCUGUAAAGGCGAGCCUUAAAGAAUUAGUUGAUGACGGGGCCACUUCACCAUAUGACCCACUUCACCAUUAAAUUUUUGCUUUGAACAACAUACGCCAAUUGCAAUCCACAUAAUCUUCGAUCGAAGUUGCUGCCGCCACUGCCGUUUGCUUCGUCAGGUCGUGGAUAUCCAUUGAUUCUGAUACUUAAAAAAUUUAUUGGCUUUUAUCUAUAGGCCCCUGCAAAUUUUCUAUUUACAUGUUGUAAAAAUCUUGAAAUCGCUCUAAUUCAUGUUCGUUUGGAUUGCAUUUUCUUACCACCAACAUCUUUUUCUCGAGUAUGAAGCAUCAAACUUUGAUCUGCGGGCUUUUUAUCUUCUUAACUGAGUUUUUAAUUGUAUGAAUGUGCUCGCAUGUCGAAUUAAGUUUUCAUGCAUACAUAUGGAAUUUCAGAUUUUCAACGGACAUAUGUAGCCUUAUAUGAUGUUGUAGGGUUAUACAUGUAGUUUUGUCGAAAGAUACUCUUAUACAGGGACAACCAACCAUCUGCUCCACCCAAUUGAACUUGGAUCCGAAUCCUCUCUUUUUUGAAUGGGCUCUCACUUCAUCACCCAAUUCCUCCACCAUCUAAAUUUGAUGAAUUGGAUCUUUCGGAAAGUCGCGGCAUCAUCGACUUUUCAUUCUUUCUAUUUUUCAAUUGCUUCCACUCUUCAAUAGCCCUUUCCUCCCAUGCGACUUCCGAGCCUUAUCGAGCACUGUCACAUCAAAAUAUUGGCUUUUAUUAUUGCCCUUUUUUCUUUAUAUAUUUUGUGGAAUCUGCACUUACUUUAGUUGUACUGUUGCAUAUACUUGUAACAUUCCAUAGAUGACUACAACCUGUCAUGAAUCCUUUUCCUCAAUGAUGGAAAGCAAAAGCCAUUUUGAGAUGUGUAAUGCUUAAUCUGGAAGGAGCUUACCACUAAAAUACCUUUUUUCUUUAAGUAAAACAUGUGUUGGCAUUGUCACUUUUUUUUUUUUUUUUUUUUUUUUUUUUUUUUUGAGUUUCCCCACAAUCUCCUUUGAGGAAUAUAUACUUUCUAUGACUUGGAUUGUUCAAAUUUACUGCAAAUCAGGAUGAAAAAUGUUAGGAUUGAUGCCGUUAGUCCAUUAUAGAAUGAUUUGUCAAUGUAAAUUGAGAAUUUCUCUGACUCAUAACACGUAACUUCUUGGAGUUUACAGGCGAAUCAAAUAGAUCUGGAUGUAAGGUCACAAGCUACACAAAUACAUGCAUGUACUCACAUAUGCAUCUUAUUAGCUGAAGCCUUAUAUAGUUACUUAUGAUAUGUAGUUGAAGUAAAAACAAACUUCAGGGCAUCGAUAUCAUAAGCUCUAGUUUUACAUUGUUGAUGACUUUUUAAUGAAGAAUCUCUUAUUAUUAUUGUAAAAUACUUAUUUAAACUGUACUUAUACAUAAGUUGGACUAAAUAUGCCUUUUCAUAUACUCCAAAAAAAAGUAAUCUUUAUUAGAUUGAGUAACGUGGUAUCAGAGUUAGCCCAAACAAUUUUAUAGCGUAUAUUUUCAUUCCUGUUGUCACGUGAUAGGACUAGAUCAUCUUAACAUUAGCAUGCUAUUUGUAAGAAGUAAAUUUUUACUGUAGAAAGUAAAUUUUUAGGAUGCAAGGAUAUUUCUACUGUCCUUUUUAACAUCAAUAUGAAACUGUUUGGGAAGCCACCGAAUAGUGUAAGCAACUUCUUUGUCCUUUUUCUCAUUCUGAGACACACGUCAGAGUCUCGCGGUGUCGGCCAAUCCUCUUUCCUGCGCAUAUCCCCUCCCAUAGAUAACAAAUUCUCUUUUCGCACAUCGUAUCUCCUCCAAUCAAUCCAAACUUAAAAAAAUUAAAGGAAAAAAAAAACAGAGAGUCAAAGCAACAACAAUUAAUAUUUAUCUUAUCAACCUUACAUAGAACUAACAAAAAAAGUACCGAUGGUUGAUAUUCGAAAUUCUAAAUUUAGAAUAUAAUUAUUUUAUAUUUUUAACUUGGUUUAUUUUUUUAAAAGAAAAAAGCGAGACUGAUAGCAUGCUGUCUUUCUCUUUUUUAAAAAAGAAAAAAAAUCUUAAUUCACUUGGACUAUGUUAGCAAUACUUGCUUUUUUUUUGUUUUUUUUUUUUAGAGAAAUAGGUAGUGCGCUACCCGCUUCGUUUAUUUCAUUUUGAAAUAAAUUUAGCUGGAAAUGUGAAUCAAUUAGGAUUCGAACUUGGGACCUCGGGUACCAACCACCGAGUCCUUUACCAUUUGCUCUAGGGACGAUCGGUAUAUUAGCAAUACUUGUUGUGUGGAGAGUCCUUGUGAAGUAAUAGUUUGUCUUUAUUCUUCUCUAACCUAACUUUUUUUGUUUUCGUGGGUAAAUUUUAAUAGCAAAAAGGAAGGGUACAAAAUGUACACAUCAUUAUUCGCAAUAUGAAAGGUUUAGAGGAGCAUGCCACAAUUUAACUUUAAAAAGAGUGGAUGAAGAUGUGAGACAUGAAGGUAGGUAUGGAAAAAAGAAAAGGACGUCCAAGAUGCCUCUACCAACCUUGAAAGGAACCUGACCUUAAUCUUUGUUUAAGGAUGUUAACGGAUCGGAUUCGGUCGAAUACUCAGAAGACCGAAAUAAGAGGCGUAGAAGUUAUCGGGUCCAAAAAAAAGGAGCUUUACAUCACCUACAUGGUUGUAGAGUGAGAAUGUGCCCUAUGCUCUCUACAAAGCUUGGCACCGUAAAGAAAGAAAAUUAUAUAGAACACAUCCAGGAUUAGGAUGGACACAGAUUUUGAUCUACAUGCAUGAUACAAAUGUACAUCAUCUAAUCAAUCACGUGGUGUUGUGCUAGAUGUGUUCCACACAAUAAGCUUAUAAUAUAUCCUCUUGUUAAAUAGUUAUUUUUUUCUAUAUAGAUGUAUCAAAAACUGGGAGCCAUAAUCAAUCAUAUUUACAUCUUUGAAUGCGUUGUAAAAACAUGCGUUAAAAUCUAUUCAUAUUUAUUUAGCAUUAAUGAAUGAAAACAUACUUGGGGUUCUUUAGGCAUCAGUUUUGUUUUUUCUAAUUCUGGCAAGUAAGAAACUCUUUAAUGAAAUUUGCAAAAUAGAAACAAAUUACAACCCUUAGCAGUUCAGAUCAAUGUGAGUAGAUGCAUGGAUCCAAACAAUUGAGGGGCCAUAGUUUCAAAUUUCUUGGUCUAAUUCCUUUCAGCAUUCAAAACCAAAAUAAAAAAUUUGAACUAGAAGGAAAAUCUAUGCAGCCAAAUAUUUCUAUUUCUAUAUGAACAUUUAAGGUGCAAGAAAACAAUAAUACUAUAUAACCAUAUAUAAUAAACUUACAAGUCAUUAAUUAUUAAUUUAUAGAUAUUCUUCAGUUAAUAUUUGAAACAAAGGCAAACUUCAAAUAAGGAGAAAGUUUUCCAUGAAAUAUUCUUACAAUAUUAUAGCCUCUCAUAUUUGUAAAGUAAGAUGCAAAAAUUAAAAAAAUAUAUAUAUAAAAAAAUAAUGUUAACAAGUCAUUACUCUGCACUACUGUAAUUAAUUGGCUUGUGCUGUGGUGCAUCUUAAUGAUGUGAGCCUAGAUUUUUUUAAUUUAUUUUUUAAUCUUUUUUAAUUUUUAUCCCAAGUACACAACAAUAGCCCCCCUAAUACCACAGCACACAAAAAGUGAAAAAAAUAAUUAACCAAAAAGCUUAAAAAGUAGAGAGAGGGACCAAAGUUUUUCUCCAUUUAUUUUUAAAGUUUUGACAAAGUAAAAAGAAAAAGGAAAAAAAAAAAAAGAGAAAGAAGAACAAAAAAGGGGAGGAAACCAAAGUUGGCCCUUUAUGUAGCUAGUCCAAAAGAUUGGUUAAAUUGCAUUAACUAGUCCCUGAGCUUUGAGUCAAUUUUCAUUUUGGUCUAAAAAAUAAAGCUUGGUAAAAUUGAAAUAUGUGAUAGUAGUAUAAAGAUAUGUUGAUGCACCUUGUGGAGGCAGUAGCUUUUUUUUAAUAUUAAAUAUAUAAAAAAUUAAAGUGGUUUAUUAACGUGAGAGUUUGAGAAUCAAGAUAAAACAUAGUAAAACAUAAGGAGACUAGUGGCGCAAUUUACACUCUAAAAAAUAACAAUAUUAUUAUCUCCCCCAAAAAAAAAACAAUAUUAUUCAUACAUUUCAAAAAUAAUGUAUUUCCUGCAUCACACUUAUCUGUAAAUUUUUUUGACUUAUAUAUAAUGCGGUAAAUAAAAAAAUAUUAUUCAUUAAAUAGAUGAGUAUAAAUCAUACACUUUUUUUUUGUGAGAGAGAUAGGUAACAUGCUACCGAUUCAUUUAUUUUAUUAAGAAAUAAACUUAGAUAGAAAUAUAAAUCAACUAGAAUUCGAACUUAAAACCUCGGGUAUCAAUCAUCAAGUCCUUUGCCACUUGCGCUAAGGACCGUCGGUAAAUCAUACACUUUGUAGUGGUGGGGAUGUAUGGGUAACUAUAUUUUGCUCUCAACACAAUCAUAUAAAUAUACUCUCCAUAAACAUUACAUUACACAACAUGUCCUCUCUCUCUCUCUCUUCUCUUGAGACCUCUGCCACUUCAGAGAGAGAGAGAGAGAAAGGGAAGAGAAAACCACUUCGGGGUUUGGUUUUGGCCCGUGCCUGUCGUUUUGUGUUUCUUAGCCGUGCUUAAAACCACUGUUAAAAACAACUGUUUCAUCUCUCUCUCUCUCUCUCUCUCUCUCUCUCUCUCGCGCGCGCGCGCUUCGAUUCCUCUCUAUUUUCGAUCUCGAUCCCGAAGCGCACAAACAUUAUCUCUCCAUGUGGUCCUUUUUGCUCCUUAUUCUCCUCUCCUCCGAAGCGUGGGGUGCGCUACGACGCGGACCCGUGUGGUUUUCCUGGCUUGUAGUGGUCAUACGCGCGUAAAAGAGCCACCUUUGCUUCGUUUCACCACCAUUUCCCUCCCCCCCCUCAUCCGAGCUUUGUGGCGAAAUCGCGAAGAACCCUUCUUUUGAAACGGGUGUUCGGAUUGGGAGAAGCCCAAAAGGCGUGAUCUUGGGGGGUCUUCUCCUUUUGCUGUAUCUUAUCCUGUUGAGGUAUCGGAGAAAACCCAUUUCUCCUUUUCCCCCCUCUGUUUCACCUUUUUUUUUUUUUAUAUAUGCUACGAAUUUGGCUCUUUUCCUUUUUAUCUUAUGUUUUGCAUCAUCCCAUUAGUAGUGGGUUCCAUUUUGCAAGUUUUAUCAGUGUGUCCAAGUAUAAUUAGUUACCAUGGCGCUUUUUAGGGUUUGAUCAUUGUGGCAGGUCACUACUUUGUCUCUUUUUGGUGGUCAUCUUAAAUAAAAAAACAAGCUUUGAAUAGUUUAAGUGGUUGUAGUAGUUGAAAGCUCCAUUUCUAUGGGCAUGUUACAAUACUUAUCAUGUUAAUGUCAUUUGGUCCAUUUACAGGGUUAUAUUUCCAUCACUGUGGGUUGUCUUUGAGUAGUCCUGGUCCAUGCCUUAAAAAGUUUAAUGUUAUUGAUUCUAACUUUAUUUAUUAAAAAGAAUUUGUUCCAUAGUUUCGAUUUCUCGAUGAUUGAAAGUGAUUGGGGUCCUCAUAUGUCGUUUUCUAACCUAGAAUAAUUUGCGCCCAGCAUCAAGUUAUCUAUUUCGUCGAGGAAGAUGUCGAAUUAUCUGUCCUUCGAUAGCGAAAUCUGGAAUGCUAUUCUGUUUAUUUUGUUUCUUCGUCUUUCCUUUUUCGUUGGAUUUCAUGGACUUACUUUUCAGGUAAUUCGAGUUUCGCGUCAUAUAUGAUUGCUCUCAUGGAUGAUGAGUUAUCAUGGGAGUCUCUCUCCACAGACCAUUUCGCGAGUGAUAUGAUCAACUUCAGAACGGUUCCCGAGCGAAACGAUGGAGAAGAACAAUUCAUGGUUUCGCUGGAUAGCAUUCUGCCGGAUGAUUUAUUAGAGAAAAUACUCUCCUUUUUACCCGUCGCGAGCAUAGUUAGAGCUACAUCCGUUUGCAGAAGAUGGCGCGAUAUAGUCCGCUCAAGGAGGUUUCUAUGGGCCAACAAGUCACCUCAAAAGCCGUGGUACUUCAUGUUUACAUGCAACGACGCUGCCGCUGGGUAUGCGUAUGAUCCCAUCUUCAGAAAAUGGUAUAACGUCGGUCUCCCUUGCAUUGAGAAAAGCAAUUGGUUUAUCGCUUCGUCUUGUGGGUUAGUUUGCUUUAUGGACUACGAUAGCAGGAGCCGCAUCUUCGUUUGCAACCCAAUUACUAGAGAUUCGGUUAAGCUUCUCGAACCACCUGGUGCGAAAUUCCCUGACUAUAGUACGCUUACUAUAUCUGUUGACCGAUCUUCUUACGACUACACUGUUGCAGUGGCAAAAUCAAAACAAAUUCCUGGCGAUUUUCUUCAGUGGGACUUCUCGAUACACAUGUACGAUUCAAAAAGUCGAAAUUGGAUCACUUCUAUUGAGGAGGUUUUUAUGGGUUGGAGAGGAGGCGAUGAUAGUGUGAUUUGUAAUGGAAUAUUGUAUUGCUUGGUCCAUUCGACUGGCAUAUUGGGCAGUUCCAACUUUCGUCAUAGCCUCAUCAUCUACGAUCUAGCGGCUCGGUCUUCUCGCACUUCCUUGAUGCACGAUUCGAUCCCGGCCCCUUGUUCUCUCACCUGCGGCCGGCUGAUGAAUUUAAAGGAGAGGCUGGUUAUGGUCGGCGGGAUAGCGAAGAACGAAAGGCCGGAUAUCAUUAGAGGAAUAGGAAUUUGGGAGCUCUAUGACAAUAAAGAGUGGCGAGAGGUGGCCCGGAUGCCCCACAAGUUUUUCCAAGGGUUUGGUGAGUUUGACGAUGUUUUUGCGAGCAGUGGGACGGAUGGCCUUAUAUACAUACAGAGCUACGGGGCGACUGCGUUGCUUGUUUUUGACAUGAGCCAGAAGCAAUGGAGAUGGUCGGUGAAGUGUCCCGUGACUAAACGGUUUCCUCUGCAGCUAUUUACAGGUUUCACCUUCGAACCUAGGCUUGAAGUUGGCCCCUGAGUUCGAAUCUCCUCUCAAGCAAAGUUUUGUGGAUUUGACUAGUUGCCUACGAAGUUCUUUUUCUUUCGGAGAGACACUUAGAAAGGUUUUAUUACUUUUGAGGGGCUUAUAGGAGUUGCUGACUGGUAUAGGUAUCAGUGACAAAAUCUUUCUGAUGAUUUUUGUUCUUUCAUAUGUUUGUCGGUGGAGCAUUCUGUGUUUUUUUACUUUGGCAUAGUGUUGAUCUAUAGAAUGGCAGAAAUGCUGCCUCACUUUUUCCUUGUAUCCUUUCUUUUUUUUCAAAAAUAAUCCAUACGUCGGCUUUUUACAGCUUGUCUCGCUGGAAUCGCUUUCAUAUCUUGUCUACUUGCAUUCCACUUACUACAGCUUUAUACUAAAAUUUCUUAAGAUUUAAGUCUAGUCUCUGUUUCCUUCUUUAUCUCUAUUCCUGCUGUACAAAUGGGAUGAUGCUUUGUGGGUAUAGAUAGUACUAACCAGAGAAAUUAUCAAGUAUUUUGCAAUAUAUAUUUUUUUCUGUUUUAUCUCUCAUAUCUGAGCAACCAGUUCUUUGUAAUUAAUUCAGAUGUUCACACAAGGUUGGUUGUGCCUCUGAAUGAUAUUCUGCAGAAAAAGAAGAGAACACUAAUCUUGCCAAAUUUGUUAAUUACUUGGAGGAAUGGCCUUGCCAGUUGUUUACAAAAUAUUAUUAAAUGGAAUUUAUAUUCUCUUUCAAUUGUAAAAUAUUUUAGUUUCUGAUGGUCAUAAAUUCUUCAGUGAUGUAUAAAUAGUGUGCAGGGAUCAUUGAUAGAGUUUCAGCUCUGUAGCAGUAAUUAAAGCAAGUCAUGCUUGCCAUAUGAGGCCUUUGUUAUGUCCAAUUUAUGGUCAUAUACAUGGAUUAUAGGGGUGGCAAUCCAGCUCGCUGUUCGCGAGCCAGCUCAUGUUCGGCUCGAAAUAAGCUCGAGAUCGGACGCUUUAACAAAGGAUUUCACUCGGUUAUUAAUAAAAAGUUGAAGACAGACUGGGUCGGCUUUCCGCAUCGUGUUCGCUCCGAUAUACACUCGAAAAAGUACAUAUAAUUUUAUAUUAUAUAAUUUAUUUAAUAUAUAUUUUUUUAUAAUAAAUAAAUAUAUAUAUAAUUAUAUAUUUAUUAUAUUAUAAUUUUAGCAAAUAAUAAAAAUAUAAUUGGAGUUUUAAUUAUAAAAAGACUGACUUUAUAUGUAAGUUCAACUAUAGAUCAAAGCCUAAUAGAUAAGAUUUAUAAUUAUUUUUAUAUUAAUAUUUAAUCUAAUUUUUUUUUUAAUUAUUUUGUCGUGGCAGGCGAGGGGUCGGAGCCAGCGGUGUGUUGGCGUAGGCCGUUAAUCACGAGCCGAACACGAGCUGAAUUUUUCGGCUCGAUACUUUAACGAGCCAGCUCGUGUUCGGGUCGUUUAAUAAACGAGCCGAACACAAGCCGACCCCAGCUCGCUCGUGUUCGGCUCGUUUACACCCCUACAUGGAUAGGCCAGGCCUGCAUACUACAUAGAUCAAAACAAGGUAGGGAAUAAAGCGUUUUGUUUGAUAGAGACACAGCAAAUUGUAAAAGGGAAAUGCAAUUAUGCAGCUCUUUUUAAGAUGAUGGGUUGUUACCUAAUAUAAUAUAAUUAGCUGUGGAGAAUCCAAAAGGCACAUUGGGUAUUGGAAUUUUUGGUUAAGGAGAUGCUGCUCUUCUUCCAGAAGCCAAAAGCAAGAACUGGCUUUUGAAGCUUGUAGUUUGUAAGAUAUUAGAGCCAAAAGAACACUUCAUGGGUGGGGUGUGACAUGCAUUAUCUUUUGAUGUGAACUUAGAUUUAAAGAGAAAAAACGAGAAGUGGGGAUCUUUGGUCUCAAUGUCUAAUUGUAAACCAAUAAAGGAUUCAGUUGCAUGUUUUUGAAAAUAAAGGUGUCAAAAGAGAUAAAAAGAAUUUUGCAUUUUGUGCUAACUUUUGGUUUAUGUCCGUGACAUAGCAUGUUACGGAUACAACUCUCUAUGAAGCUCUUAAAAUUAUUAUUAUUAUUUUUUGCUACAAUCAGAGAUAAAUCCUAUUUUACAUGCCAAAAUUUGUUCUAAAUUGAAUCAACUUCAUUAUACCUUACGAGUCUUUGACUCUUUUCAUAAUAGCAAUUGGCUAAUUGUAAACUUUUCAGCAGCAAUAUAUAAGUUUAUCCAAAGAUAUUAUUAAAUCCCUUAGCCCUUCUCUUUCCAAAGGUACUUUUGGAGGGGUUACUUUUCUAAUUGAAAAAGCAAUAGGGACAAGUAAAUAAAAAUUGAGCAAUACUACGUACCCAUACACACUAUCUAUAGAUAUAAAACUUGCACCCAUAGGCUUUUGAAAAAUGCUAAGUUUACAACUCAAAUUUGUUGUAAUUCCUACAACCUCUCAUCCAAAGAGUUAUAGAAUUUGCCAAUCUCUUUUUGAAUUUUAGUAUUAAAAAAAAAUGAUGAGACAAGAAGGAGAAAAGAGGGAGUUGGAUGGGUGAGGUUGUAAGAUUACAAUUUUCUAUUUUUAAAAUUUGUUGAAAAAUUCGGCUUAAAAAAGAGAUUCAGUAUAAAAUAUAAAAUAUAAGAUAAUCUAUAUUUAAACAUAAAAAUUAUAAAUUUUUUAUUCAGAUUUUCAAUAAUUCAUGAAUAAUUUACGAAUAAUUUGUAAAUUAUUCGCGAAUUAUUCGGUUGGCCUAAAAAUUCGCGAAUAAUUUUUUUUUUUGGAAAAAAUUCGUAAACGGACCGUUUAAUUUGGAUUUUUAAUAACUCGCGAAUUAACUAACAAAGUUCUAAACUAACUACUUAUUAUAAAUGUUCAAUAUAUAAUCCUUUUAUCAACAGUUCUUUAUUUCGAAUUGUGCGAUGGGUAGCACGUAUAUUGCAUGUAAGAUUUGAAUAACUAAGGUGUAAGAAGAUGAUGAAUAAAUAUUGUUUCAUCUUGUUCUAACACUAAACUUAUACACGUGUAUUGUGUUUUUUACUCGCAAACAAUAUGCAGGCCAUGCCAGAUCAGUUUCAUUGGGUCUUGGUUAUCUUGGGCCCCAAACAAAGUUCGGUUCGGGCUCCCGAGUUUGGCCUGCAGUUUUUCCAUUUGACCCGGCUCGACCAUUUUGGGUCGCACUCAUGUUCAAACUAGAUGUAAAAUUUCCGGAUUGGAUCGGACUUUGAAUCAGACAAAUGAACCCGAUCCGAAGUUAGGAUCGACCCGGACCCUGCUUUGGCCCAGCCUUGGUUCAUUUGAGUUCAGAACAAAGCCAUGUGAUAGGUUGUACGCUAGUACUUUUUCAUACAAUCUAUAAAUUAAAUUUAAUCUGAUUAGAUUUUGAUCUGCUUUAGAUCAGCCAUUUAUCAACCUGGACUGAUUUUUUUUUUUUUUUUUUUUUUUUUUUUUUUUUUUUUUUUUUUUUUUUUUUUUUUUGUUGAUUCAUUUUUAGGAGAAGAUUUGGUUCAACUUGGGUCAUGGCCGAUGCAUGGGUUGAACCAGUGGAGAAGUAAAUGAAUAUAUGUGAGUUGAGCUACUUUCGACAGUAUCCAGUACAGUCGACUAAAAGCUUAAUGAUUUAUACCCGAAAUUGUAAGUUCGAAAUCUAAUUGAUUCACAUUGAAGUGAGUAACUUGUUAUCUUUCUUUUAAGAAAAGUAAGCAUAAAAUUUUUGCCCUUGAAUCUAUACAUAAUAAAUAAAUGGAAGAAGCUAUAUCUAAGUCGGAUAAGUAUGAUCUAAUUAGUGACAUGUUUUGCUUGUAAAAAUAAAUGAAGCUAGUAUUUUCUCACUGCAUUUUUCUUCACCGCAUGCGGAAUACUCGGUCCGUAAUCCAAACAGAGUUGAAGAGAGAAAAAAACAAAGCUUGAUAUAUAUCUAGAGUUGAUUCACCAACUAUAAACUAUGGUAUUUAGGAAGAAAUUAGAGGCUAAUUAAGCAAGUUUUAUCGACUAACGUGUGUUCCGAAACAAGCCAAGUGAUUAGCGUGGCGGCUUUUGACUCACGGAAGCAGAUUUCCACAAUCUUGCCGACGGGCCGUCUCUGUCGCAUUAUCUUCAGUCAUUUUCUCUCUCACUCUUAAAAAAAAUAAUAAGAAGAAGAAGAAAAAAGAGAACCUGUCAUUAAAACGUGCAUGUGUUUUUGAAGUUUUGGUGUCCAAACUUAAGUCUAUUCUGGGAUUGAACGUUGCAUCGAUCUUCCAUGGAAAAUACUGUUUUUCUUCAUCUGCUUGUCUCUUACGCUUCGAGGACUCCCCACCAAGUUUCAGAGCAUGGUGUACAUGAAAAGAAUUUUUCAUCCUAGAACUCUAGCUUUAAUUAGAACCCUUUGCGUUUACAUUUUACAAUACAUUGUGUAAGAUGAGAAAGUAUGGCGAGAAAAUAUUCAGUUUGCAAUGAAUGGUGUUUAAUUUGUAAAUUGUAAUAAAUAUUCAGUUACCGUAUAGUUUCUAUGGUUCUACUGAAAAAAUAAAUAAGUAUAGUGUUAUCUAUGUAUUUUUGUCCCAACUAUUUUUGAUCCAAUAAUGUGAGUGAUACUUUUGAAUACCAAAUAAAUCAUAUUGGCCUGGCUUCUGAAAUAGUACUCUCUAUAAUCACCUAAGCAAUGUAUAAUAGCACCAAUGACUUAAUGCUAUUAAUAUUAUUCUAGCCUAAUUCACUUUCUCUUUCUCUCUCUAUAUAUAUAGAGAAAGAGAGAGAGCUAGGCUGGUAUAUUAUACGUAGCACGGAGGCCUUCGCACUACCAAGUUGUUUUCAAUAUUGCGGCUUCCAAAUUGACGAUCAGCUCCGUUAGACUUGAUCCACACUAUUAAAAGUAUUUGAAAACUAGAUUUUAUAAUUUUUCGGCAUUAUUUACCUAUCAAACGAGUAGUCUAAAAAUGAACGGCUGAAAAUAAAAAUUUCAUAACCAAUGAUGAUAAAAGACUUGAAUUUAAGAUCGGAUGCAAUGAUCUUACUCUAAAUAGUGAAAAGAAUUUUUUAUAAAAAUUUCAUCAAAUUUGGAUUGUUUACACCGUUAAAUUCACAAACGUAUCACAUCUACCAUUAAAAUUGUUAAUUUUGAGACCUUUUCAUCACUAGCCAAAUGAUGUCGAAAAAUGAUAAAAUUUAGUUUUCAAAUACUUUCAAUAAUAUAGAUCAAGUCUACGGAGCCGAUUGUCGAUUUGGAAGCCGCAACAAUUUGGUAGAACGGAGGCCUCUGUAAUACUGAUAGUAUACAAGCCUAACUCUCUCUCUCUCUCUCUACAUAUAUAUAUAUAUAUAUAUAUAUAUAUAGAGUUGAGCUAGGAUACUUUUACAAGUAUCAUCCCCAUGGUGCUAUUAGGUUUUUAGCCAUUGGAUCUACUCCUUGAUUACUAAUAGUCCUUGGAUCAAACACUAUUCCGCCUACCACCACCUACCACCACCUACCACCAUCAUCUCAACCUCACAUCUCUCCAUCCAAGGGCUAAAAACACUAAAGCACCACCCAAGUGAUACUUGUAAAAGUAUUCUAGCUCCACUCAUUUUAUAUAUAUAUAUAUAUAUAUAUAUAUAUAUAUAUAUAUAUAUAUAUAAAACUAGACUGGAAUAUUAUCAAUAGCACCAAGUUAUACCAAGUUAUUUGUGCUAUUAGUUUUUUAGUCCUUGGAGUGAGAAAUGUGCGGUUAGGAUGAUGUGGGCCUACUAGGGUUGAAUUGGUGGUUAGUUAAAUAAUCUAACGGGUAAAAAUAAUCAAAAGGAUUAAUCUAACGGCAGAAAACUUAAUAGCACCAAGUGCUUGAUAUCGAUGCUAUUGAUGGCAUAGCAGCCUCUCUCUCUCUCUCUCUCUCUCUCUAGAUCUAAAGAGGUUUGCACUGGACAAGAAGUUUUAAACCCGCCCUCUGAUUGAGACACAUAACAAAAUCUUUAAAUUUCGUGGACCAGAUUCAAUAAAUCUUCCAAUUCCAACAUUUAUGAUCUGACCCAGUAUUUCUUAGAGGAGAGUUUCGCUGCAUCUACUCGAUCCCAAUCUCAAGCAUGAUCAGGUAAAGCACUACCAAAAUUCUACGUACCAAGGAAGUUGUUGACUAUCUCGAGAAGGAGAGAGGCCAACUUUUCUUUCUUCUUCUUUUUUUUUUUUUCUUUUUUUUUUUUUCGUUUCUAGCAAUAAAUUUGUGCGUAAAAAUUUGGCAUAUUUCCUAUUCUUAGCAUUUAUUUUAAAUGAAUCUAAAAAUUUAAACAUAAUUGGCUACUUAGAUUGUAAAAUUUAAAUAAAUUGAUAUAUAGCUUUGUUUCGCAUCUUAAUAUCUAUCUAAUUUCUGCAGCUCGCAAAAUAUAUAUAAAAAAUUAUGUGAGCAAGAUAUUUUAUUUUGCUAAUACCAAAAAAUUGGUCGAUAGUUUUUAACAUAAUGUUAUUUAAUUUAGAUAAUCCUUCUAUAUAUAUAUUAAUAAUAACUAAUUUUAUCUGUUAAUUUAUAUUUUCGAAAGUUUAACAGUUAAUAAUUAUUCAAAAUUUUUGUUCCGUAUGAAACUGCAGCAAAAUAUAAAAGGAUACGUAAUAGAUGUAGGUUUUUUUUUUUUUUUUUUUUUUUUUUUUUUUUUUUUUUUUUUUUUUUUUUUUUUUUUUUUUUUUUUUUUUUUUUUUUUUUUUUUUUUUUUUUUUUUUUUUUUUUUUUUUUUUUUUUUUUUUUUUUUUUUUUUUUUUUUUUUUUUUUUUUUUUUUUUUUUUUUUUUUUUUUUUUUUUUUUUUUUUUUUUUUUUUUUUUUUUUUUUUUUUUUUUUUUUUUUUUUUUUUUUUUUUUUUUUUUUUUUUUUUUUUUUUUUUUUUUUUUUUUUUUUUUUUUUUUUUUUUUUUUUUUUUUUUUUUUUUUUUUUUUUUUUUUUUUUUUUUUUUUUUUUUUUUUUUUUUUUUUUUUUUUUUUUUUUUUUUUUUUUUUUUUUUUUUUUUUUUUUUUUUUUUUUUUUUUUUUUUUCUGAGAAAAAGGUAAUAUGCUAUCCAUUUUAUUUAUUAAAAUGAUGAAUUAAGUGAAAUAAGGUGAGGCAGCGAAGGCCUCAUUAUGGGCGUACCGCCCGAAAAAAAAAAAAACCUCUAGCGAUUACAGAAGCAGCGAUUGGUAGAAAGGAAUUGUUCCCAUAGGUUCAUCCAACAGUUGAUCUUAUGGACCGUAGACAAGGAAUUGGGCAGGGUUUUUCUAAAGAUUACAUCAUUCCUGACAUUCCAGAUGAUCCACCAUCAUAUAAGUCGAUUUUAUCGUGAACUUUUCGUCCGGGCUUCACUGCAAUUAACACUAUCUGGUCUCUGCUCAGGUCUGAAAUUGAAUAGUCACUCCAAAAGCGCGGAAAAAUUCAGGCACAAACCAUACCCAGAAGUAAUAGAUGUAAUUUUCAAUAUGGAAAGAAAGAUAAUUAACAGAAGAUUCAUAGCGCAAAAAAGAUUUUUUGUCCUAUCACACCUUCAAUCACGCAAACACCGCUUCUACACAAUCGUACUAUUACUUUUCUUUGAUGACCAAUGACUAAUCCACAGCAUUAAUUAAUUAUUACGGUCAUUAAAUCCACUAAUCAGUUUGUAUUCUAUGCACGGCGAGACACGUGGCCCAGUUGUGUUGCACACGGCGAAGACCUGCUUUAAGAGCUGUGCACUAAUUAGUCGAUCUUAGACAUGCGAAAAAUUAUUAUCUACCUAUGCCGUAUAUAUUGCACCUAUUUUUUAAUAAUCUAUAUAGCUUAAAAUUAAAAAUAUAUAUGACAAAUGUGACAGGUUGUCUACAGUAUUUAUGUGCAAAUAGUUAUUAAUUUUAAAAGUUACUAUUUAAACAUUAAGUAUAGCCUUAAUUUAACUGUAUGAAAAAAGCAUUAGUAUUAGAUUCAUCAGACAAUACGUGUCCAUUUUUUUUGUAUGUAGGCUUUUGUAUUAAAGAUUAUAUUUCUCAAGAGGCCUUACGAGAGUUCUUGAACAUAUAUACAUAGUAGCGGGAGUCAUCUAAUUUCUAUAUAUAACGUGUGUGACAGAUCGUUGUAAAAAUAUUCUUGAGAGAACAAUAGUAUGCUAACUGUUGCAUUUAUUAUUUUUUUCAAAAAAAUAAAAUUAGCUUACAAAGUAAAGCAAUCAGGAUUCGAAUUUAGAAUCUCGAGUAUCAAUCAUCGAGCUCCUUAUCACUUACCACUUACGAUAGGAAC
rnacentral:lncRNA from 1 species